GUGAAUCAUCAAAUCUUUGAACGCAAAUUGCACUCUCUGGUAUUCCGAAGAGUAUGCCUGUUAGAGGGUUGUUUCAAUUAAAUCGUUUUUUUAUAACUGGAUUUGAGUUUUCCAAGGCUUCAUGAUUUUGGUAACUUUACAUUUAUGUUAACGAUAUUUUUGGUAUGAUAUUGGAAAUGGUUAUAUUCUUAUUAUUCGUGAGUUUCAUUUAUAAUCGAUUACCUGUCGUUAUGUUGUAUCAUUGCGCCAAUCCUUUUGAAUGGAUCGCAUG
rnacentral:misc_RNA from 1 species